rnacentral:tRNA from 1 species
GGAGAGAUGGCCGAGUGGUCGAAGGCGCUCCCCUGCUAAGGGGGGAUAUGCCUUAUAAGCUUAUCGAGGGUUCGAAUCGCUCUCUCUCCGCCA